rnacentral:pre_miRNA from 1 species
UGAUGACGAUGAUGAUGAUGGUAGUGGUGGUGGUGGUGGUGGUGGUGUUGAUAGUGGAUCGUCAUUGCUUCUACCAUCAUCGCUAUCAUCAUCAUCAUCAUCAUCAUUA